UGAAAGUGAACGCUGACAGGUAUCCUUAGGU
rnacentral:piRNA from 1 species